GAUGAACGCUGGCGGCGUGCCUAAUACAUGCAAGUCGAGCGAACGGACGAGAAGCUUGCUUCUCUGAUGUUAGCGGCGGACGGGUGAGUAACACGUGGAUAACCUACCUAUAAGACUGGGAUAACUUCGGGAAACCGUAGCUAAUACCGGAUAAUAUUUUGAACCGCAUGGUUCAAAAGUGAAAGACGGUCUUGCUGUCACUUAUAGAUGGAUCCGCGCUGCAUUAGCUAGUUGGUAAGGUAACGGCUUACCAAGGCAACGAUGCAUAGCCGACCUGAGAGGGUGAUCGGCGACACUGGAACUGAGACACGGUCCAGACUCCUACGGGAGGCAGCAGUAGGGAAUCUUCCGCAAAGGGCGAAAGCCUGACGGAGCAACGCCGCGUGAGUGAUGAAGGUCUUCGGAUCGUAAAACUCUGUUAUUAGGGAAGAACAUAUGUGUAAGUAACUGUGCACAUCUUGACGGUACCUAAUCAGAAAGCCACGGCUAACUACGUG
rnacentral:rRNA from 1 species